GUUCUUAGGGCCACAAGCUGUUCAGGCGCCACCAGCGGCUGCCGCGACACAAUUGGAUGACGCCCGGGGCCGAGGACCUCGCGACGACGUUAUUUCCUUUGGUGCAACACGGUCACCAGCGGCCUGGGUUAGGCCCUGGCCUUGCAUCGGAGAGUAAUUCUGACCAAGAAGACACAGCCUUUGUUCUCAUGCGCAUGAAAGAGAGUUCGGAGUCACUUGCUGUAAGCUUACAAAGAUCAUUCAUAUGCGAUUUUUUUUGUGUCCGAGAUGAAAAUCGGAAGGUAGCGUCAGAUAAUACGUACCAUUUUUUUUUUUCAUAAAGAAGUCACACUUCCACACCGCGGUCAACAUGAAUUCACUGAUUAAUUUGUUUUUAGGGUACACUUAAAAAUACUUAAAGCCUCAAAUUACUACUCCCGUGCCCUGUCCGGAAUCUGUUUUUGAGUAUAAUGAAAAUUCCUACUAAAA